rnacentral:hammerhead_ribozyme from 1 species
AUCCGGAUGACGAGUCCUCAAUAGGACGAAAUGAGCAUCCUGGAU